rnacentral:rRNA from 1 species
GACGAACGCUGGCGGCGUGCUUAACACAUGCAAGUCGAACGGAAAGGCCCUGCUUUUGUGGGGUGCUCGAGUGGCGAACGGGUGAGUAACACGUGAGUAACCUGCCCUUGACUUUGGGAUAACUUCAGGAAACUGGGGCUAAUACCGGAUAGGAGCUCCUGCUGCAUGGUGGGGGUGGGAAAGUUUCGGCGGUUGGGGAUGGACUCGCGGCUUAUCAGCUUGUUGGUGGGGUAGUGGCUUACCAAGGCUUUGACGGGUAGCCGGCCUGAGAGGGUGACCGGCCACAUUGGGACUGAGAUACGGCCCAGACUCCUACGGGAGGCAGCAGUGGGGAAUAUUGCACAAUGGGCGGAAGCCUGAUGCAGCAACGCCGCGUGCGGGAUGACGGCCUUCGGGUUGUAAACCGCUUUCGCCUGUGACGAAGCGUGAGUGACGGUAAUGGGUAAAGAAGCACCGGCUAACUACGUG